CCUACGGGUGGCAGCAGUGAGGAAUAUUGGUCAAUGGACGGAAGUCUGAACCAGCCAUGCCGCGUGCAGGAAGACGGCUCUAUGAGUUGUAAACUGCUUUUGUACGGGAGUAAACCUGAAUACGUGUAUUCAGCUGAAAGUACUGUACGAAUAAGGAUCGGCUAACUCCGUGCCAGCAGCCGCGGUAAUACGGAGGAUCCGAGCGUUAUCCGGAUUUAUUGGGUUUAAAGGGUGCGUAGGCGGAUUGAUAAGUGAGCGGUGAAAUGUCCGAGCUGAACUCGGGAACUGCCUUUAAAACUGGUGAUCUAGAGAGUAGAUGCGGUAGGCGGAAUGGAUGGUGUAGCGGUGAAAUGCUUAGAGAUCAUACAGAACACCGAUUGCGAAGGCAGCUUACCAAUCCAUAUCUGACGUUGAGGCACGAAAGCGUGGGGAGCAAACAGGAUUAGAUACCCGUGUAGUC
rnacentral:rRNA from 1 species